rnacentral:lncRNA from 1 species
UUUUUUUUUUUUGUUUUUUGGAAUUUUAGGGCCGAGCCUGCGGCACAUGGAAGUUCCCAGGCUAAGGGUUGAAUUGGAGCUGUGGCUGACAACCUAUGCCACAACCACAGCAAUGCCAGAUGCGAGCUACGUCUGCGACCUACACCACAUCUCGAGGCAAUGCUGGAUCUUAACCCACUGAGACAGGCCAGGGAUUGAACCCGCAUCCUCAUGGAUACUAGUUACGUUCAUAACCAGCUGAGCCACAAUGGGAACUCCUGGGAAGUUCAUUUUUAAAUCUCUGGACUGGAGUUCCCACAGUGACACAGCGGGUUUAUGAUCUGGCUGGUCCCUGUGUUAAUGAUCCCUGCCUGGCCUGGUGCAAUGGCUGCAGCUGCAGCUUGGGUCACAGCUCCAGCUUGGAUUCGAUCCCUGGUCCAGGAACCUCCAUAUGACAUGGGAGUAGCCAAAAAAGAAAAAGAAAAAAAACCUUUUUUUAAAUCUCUGGACUUUUUUUCAUUGUAAGAAGACCCACUUGGCUUCUGUUUCCUUUCUUCUCCCUUCCUUGUUUUCUUGGCAUGGCUUCCCAAUGAGAUUAAUCAGAAAGAUUCUCAAGCAUCGAGCAAUAUGCUAAAUCAGAGCCUUUUUAAAAUUGAAGAAUAAUUGACUUAUAAUGUUGUGUUAGUUUCUUGUCAACAGAAAAGUGAUUCAUUAUGUGUAUGUGUGUGUGUGUAUUCUUUUUCAGAUUCUUUUCCAUUAUAGUUUAUUACAAGGUAUUGAAUAUACAGUUGGGCCUUAUUGUUUAUUUACUUUAUAUACAGUAGUUUGUAUCUACUCAGAGGCUUUCGGUGUGUGGAACCCAGGAAAUGAGAAGGUAAAAGGAUGAGGCAAAUGCUGCGCUCAAUGUGAAGUCUCAGGGUCCAAAAACUAAGGGGGCUGCUCCCAGUUCCAGGCCAGCAACAUAAAGAAACAAUACAGAGUGAGUCUGAGACAUUCUACUGAGCAGGAUUUGCUUACAGCUUAUAAAAAUUAUUACUUACUAUUUGCUACCUGCAAAAGAGCACAUUAACACCCUUGUAGGAGCUCCUGCCAUGGCUCAGUGGUUAACAAAUCCGACUAGGAACCAUGAGGUUGCAGGUUCGAUCCUUGGCCUUGCUCGGUGGGUUAAGGAUCCGGCAUUGCCGUGAGCUGUGGUGUAGGUUGCAGACAUGGUUCAGAUCUGGUGGUGUUGUGGCUGUGGUGUAGGCCGGCAGCUACAGCUCCAACUGGACCCCUAGCCUGGGGACCUCCAUAUGCCGCAGGUGUGGCCCUAAGAAGACAAAAAAAGACCAAAAACAAAAACAAAAAAAAACAAAAAAAAAACACCCUUGUAAAUUUGUGGACCAGAACAUUAUCAUGGUUUUGAAGCCCCUCUAUCUCCUCCUAGAUACCAGUUCCCUGCCUCUCUCCCACCCCAAGGUUCCUCUUGUGCUCAUCAUGCUCUUGCUUAAAAAAAAAAAAAGUUUUUCCAAAUGUACGUGUACCUUAAACAAUACAUAAUUUGGUUUUGCUUGUUCUUUUUUUUUUUUUUUGUCUUUUCACCUUUUCUAGGGCAGCUCCCGCGGCAUUUGGAGGUUCCCAGGUACAGCUCUAAAAAAAAGCAAAAAACAAAACAAAACAAAGAACAAGCAGAGAAGAAUUUGAAGUGUAAUGAAGCUGCAAAGGAGGCCCCAGACCAUACCUGCAGAGCUAUGGAUCCGAGGGAACACUUCAAAACUGUCCUACCUUGAGGCUGCAGGGAAGAAGUCCAUGGUCUCUGCCACAGCACUCAGGAGAAGGCACAGCCCCUGUCCUUGACCCCAAGGCUGGAGCCAGAGCUGGCAGACCUCAGAGCCUGAGUUCUUCAGCCCCAGAUUUACACUUGUUUCUCCUUCAGCUUCUGGUGCCAGAACCAACUUUAGACAUGUUUCACCAUUUGGUAUCAUGAAGACCUAGGAAGGUAAGUACCUCCUUGACCGUGACAGCUGCACUCCACGCGCGAGCUCUGAGGCCGGCCUUUCCCACUGCGUUACUUCAGCGGGACUU